GAUGAAGAACGCAGCGAAAUGCGAUAAGUAGUGUGAAUUGCAGGAUUCAGUGAAUCAUCGAAUCUUUGAACGCACAUUGCGCCUCCUGGUAUUCCGGGAGGCAUGCCUGUUCGAGCGUCAUCAAAAACCUCAACCCAUGAUUUAUUGUGAGUUGGUUCUGCAUUGGACUCCUUGUGGGUCCUUUGCGAAAUCCAAUGGCGAAGAGCCACGCAACCAAAGCGUAGUAUAACUAUUUCGUUAUGGAAGCGUGGGUGCCUCUGCCGUAACCCCCAAUUUCUUAGUUUUUGACCUCGGAUCAGGUAGGGAUACCCGCUGAACUUAAGCAUAUCAAUAAGCGGAGGA
rnacentral:misc_RNA from 1 species